AGAGUUUGAUCCUGGCUCAGGAUGAACGCUGGCGGCGUGCCUAAUACAUGCAAGUCGAGCGAACGGACGAGAAGCUUGCUUCUCUGAUGUUAGCGGCGGACGGGUGAGUAACACGUGGAUAACCUACCUAUAAGACUGGGAUAACUUCGGGAAACCGGAGCUAAUACCGGAUAAUAUUUUGAACCGCAUGGUUCAAAAGUGAAAGACGGUCUUGCUGUCACUUAUAGAUGGAUCCGCGCUGCAUUAGCUAGUUGGUAAGGUAACGGCUUACCAAGGCAACGAUGCAUAGCCGACCUGAGAGGGUGAUCGGCCACACUGGAACUGAGACACGGUCCAGACUCCUACGGGAGGCAGCAGUAGGGAAUCUUCCGCAAUGGGCGAAAGCCUGACGGAGCAACGCCGCGUGAGUGAUGAAGGUCUUCGGAUCGUAAAACUCUGUUAUUAGGGAAGAACAUAUGUGUAAGUAACUGUGCACAUCUUGACGGUACCUAAUCAGAAAGCCACGGCUAACUACGUGCCAGCAGCCGCGGUAAUACGUAGGUGGCAAGCGUUAUCCGGAAUUAUUGGGCGUAAAGCGCGCGUAGGCGGUUUUUUAAGUCUGAUGUGAAAGCCCACGGCUCAACCGUGGAGGGUCAUUGGAAACUGGAAAACUUGAGUGCAGAAGAGGAAAGUGGAAUUCCAUGUGUAGCGGUGAAAUGCGCAGAGAUAUGGAGGAACACCAGUGGCGAAGGCGACUUUCUGGUCUGUAACUGACGCUGAUGUGCGAAAGCGUGGGGAUCAAAACAGGAUUAGAUACCCUGGUAGUCCACGCCGUAAACGAUGAGUGCUAAGUGUUAGGGGGUUUCCGCCCCUUAGUGCUGCAGCUAACGCAUUAAGCACUCCGCCUGGGGAGUACGACCGCAAGGUUGAAACUCAAAGGAAUUGACGGGGACCCGCACAAGCGGUGGAGCAUGUGGUUUAAUUCGAAGCAACGCGAAGAACCUUACCAAAUCUUGACAUCCUUUGACAACUCUAGAGAUAGAGCCUUCCCCUUCGGGGGACAAAGUGACAGGUGGUGCAUGGUUGUCGUCAGCUCGUGUCGUGAGAUGUUGGGUUAAGUCCCGCAACGAGCGCAACCCUUAAGCUUAGUUGCCAUCAUUAAGUUGGGCACUCUAAGUUGACUGCCGGUGACAAACCGGAGGAAGGUGGGGAUGACGUCAAAUCAUCAUGCCCCUUAUGAUUUGGGCUACACACGUGCUACAAUGGACAAUACAAAGGGCAGCGAAACCGCGAGGUCAAGCAAAUCCCAUAAAGUUGUUCUCAGUUCGGAUUGUAGUCUGCAACUCGACUACAUGAAGCUGGAAUCGCUAGUAAUCGUAGAUCAGCAUGCUACGGUGAAUACGUUCCCGGGUCUUGUACACACCGCCCGUCACACCACGAGAGUUUGUAACACCCGAAGCCGGUGGAGUAACCUUUUAGGAGCUAGCCGUCGAAGGUGGGACAAAUGAUUGGGGUGAAGUCGUAACAAGGUAGCCGUAUCGGAAGGUGCGGCUGGAUCACCU
rnacentral:rRNA from 1 species